rnacentral:rRNA from 1 species
AGGGUUUGAUUCUGGCUCAGGAUGAACGCUGGCGGCGUGCUUAACACAUGCAAGUCGAACGGGAUCCAUCGGGCUUUGCCUGGUGGUGAGAGUGGCGAACGGGUGAGUAAUGCGUGACCGACCUGCCCCAUGCACCGGAAUAGCUCCUGGAAACGGGUGGUAAUGCCGGAUGCUCCAUCACACCGCAUGGUGUGUUGGGAAAGCCUUUGCGGCAUGGGAUGGGGUCGCGUCCUAUCAGCUUGAUGGCGGGGUAACGGCCCACCAUGGCUUCGACGGGUAGCCGGCCUGAGAGGGCGACCGGCCACAUUGGGACUGAGAUACGGCCCAG